ensembl:rRNA 5S_rRNA 5S ribosomal RNA
UCUUAGGGCCAUACCACCCUGAGCGCGCCCGAUCUCGUCUGAUCUCGGAAGCUAAGCAGGGUCGGGCCUGGUUAGUACUUGGUUGGGAGACCGCCUGGGAAUACCAGGUGCUGCAAGCU